rnacentral:rRNA from 1 species
AUGAACGCUGGCGGCGUGCCUAAUACCUGCAAGUCGAGCGAACGGACGAGAAGCUUGCUUCUCUGAUGUUAGCGGCGGACGGGUGAGUAACACGUGGAUAACCUACCUAUAAGGCUGGGAUAACUUCGGGAAACCGGAGCUAAUACCGGAUAAUAUUUUGAACCGCAUGGUUCAAAAGUGAAAGACGGUCUUGCUGUCACUUAUAGAUGGAUCCGCGCUGCAUUAGCUAGUUGGUAAGGUAACGGCUUACCAAGGCAACGAUGCAUAGCCGACCUGAGAGGGUGAUCGGCCACACUGGAACUGAGACACGGUCCAGACUCCUACGGGAGGCAGCAGUAGGGAAUCUUCCGCAAUGGGCGAAAGCCUGACGGAGCAACGCCGCGUGAGUGAUGAAGGUCUUCGGAUCGUAAAACUCUGUUAUUAGGGAAGAACAUAUGUGUAAGUAACUGUGCACAUCUUGACGGUACCUAAUCAGAAAGCCACGGCUAACUACGUG